UACGAAGGGGGCUAGCGUUGCUCGGAAUCACUGGGCGUCAAGGGUGCGUAGGCGGGUCUUUAAGUCAGAGGUGAAAUCCUGGAGCUCAACUCCAGAACUGCCUUUGAUACUGAGAAUCUUGAGUACGGGAGAGGUGAGUGGAACUGCGAGUGUAGAGGUGAAAUUCGUAGAUAUUCGCAAGAACACCAGUGGCGAAGGCGGCUCACUGGCCCGUAACUGACGCUGAGGCACGAAAGCGUGGGGAGCAAACAGG
rnacentral:rRNA from 1 species